UCUUAAAUGUAAAUUUAAAGUAAAAUUAGUAUUUGAUACGUUCUUGAAACUUAAAGAUUUUGGCGGUAUUCUAGUCUUUUCAGAGGAACCUGUCCUGUAAUUGAUAGUCCACGAUUAAGUCAACCUUUUUUAAAUAGUUUGUAUAUCGUCGUGGUUGAAUAUUUUAUUAGAAUUUUAAUGUUCAAGAUUUACAAUAAUAAAUUAAUUCAGAUCAAGGUGCAACUUAUAGAAAGGUAUGAGAUGGGUUACAAUAAAUUUAUUUAUAUGGAUUAGAAUUUGGAAUAUAACUAUGAAGGUGGAUUUGAAAGUAAUUUAGUCAAUUUAGUCUAUUUGAUUUUAGCUCUAGAAUAUGC
rnacentral:rRNA from 1 species